rnacentral:lncRNA from 1 species
UUUUUUUUUUUUUCUACUUGUUUUCUCCUGGAUGUGACUGUUUGGCUUCUGUGUGUUUGUAUAGGAUUCUAAAUUAUCUAGAAAAAAAAAUCCGCAAUCAAAACCAAACCAAAACAAAAUAAAAUCCAACAAAACAAAUCCAUACUACAACAUAAACAGCCUUGUACUGAAUGUAUAUGCCUUAAUGCAGUCCUAUUGCUAUUGUUUCACUGUUAAGGGCUCAUUACAUUUUGAUGCUUUCCCAAAGUUGGUCUUUGGAUUUGAGGAGAGGUGCACUUUCUCUGUCAACUUCAGUCUGACAGUUUCGGCCAAAGCUUGUUCUGCUUCCAAGUCUAUCCUUGUGUUUCUCUAUUACUGCUGAGUGAGUCAGAGAUCUAUUGACAUCCACUGUAGACCUACCUCUGUGCUUGUGUGUGUGUGUGUGUGUGUGUGCUCGCUCCCAUGUGGUGGUGGUGGUUUGGAGGGCAGGCUGCAAGUUGGGGGAAAUAUUCAAAUACGAAUUUAUCUCUAGGCCCUUUUGCUUAUUAUUUUGAACCUUCUAUUCAAAGAUAAGUCCCCCACCUCCACACCCCCAACGUCCCAUGUAAGACAAUCCUUGUGAACAGAACAAAUAUCAUUAUCAGACUGUGGUGAAUCGCUUUGGCAGUGUUACAUCAUGCAUCGGGAUCCCGGGUGCUGUAGAGCUCUGUAAAGCCAGCAGCUACACGGUACCCUGCAGGUUUAAUAUACUUCUGCAGCCUUGUGCUUCGGAAGGAUCUCUGUAAUUGGAGACAAUCUAGUAAGGAGAACUUUUUAAGCCAUCGGAGGCUGAAAUACAAGUUUUUGAGAAAUGGGAGUUCGCUAGCUUGAAACUGAAUGGAUUACAAAUUCCUCUUAACUGGACAGAAUCCUAAUUGCCUGUACAGUACAGUCCUGAUUAUCCGGAGUUUGAUUUUCCAGUACACGGAUUAUUCAGAUUUCUUCUCUGACUCUGUCUUCUCCCUAACUACCUGACGUGAAACACUUGUCUAAUCAUUAGCGCCUCUGCUAAUGAUAUGGAAGGGAGAAGUCCAAGCCAGUGAACAGCAUUCAAAGAUGGAAGGUUGUUAAAAAAAAAAUCUACUUUUUGAAAUUCUCCACUACAAUCGUCUGAUAAAUUUCAGUGUUGGGGGGGAGGAAUAUCACUUUCUAACUACAAAUGAUAGCUUACUUUAUCUUCUUGUGUGCCACCCACUCUUCGGCCCUUUAAAGGAACAAAACACUCAGAUGAAAUGAAACAAAUCAAACAAUCUUAACAGAGUCAAAUUUCUAGGUGUGUGUGUGUGUUUUCUCAUAUAACUUCCCUCCCCUCCCAGAAGGAUAACUACCCAUUUUAAUGAACCAGUUGGGGUUGGGAUGUGCGAAUCUUUUAAAAGGCCACAUGGGUCAAGCAAGGGUACCUUUUGAAUGAGAUCAGAAUUUUGAUUAGCGUACCUUUCUCAUGCUAAAUCUAAAAGUAGGUUAUUGGUGCUGAUGGCCCAGUUAUUCCCCAACACUUCUUCAUUGGCAUCACUGGCUAGGUGUCAGUCAUUUCUCCAUGACUCUUUUUUCAGGGUAACCUACUGAAAGUCUCCCCACUCCUGGUGGCCUCUGGGCUUCUUGGGCAUGGAUUUGGCUAAAUCAGUGAAAAGGUAGAGAGGGUAGCUGGGUUAUAGACCAGGCGUGGGUGUUAUCAACCACCUUGCCACACAUCUGAAGGAUAGAGCAAGGAUUGUCUCUAGGGAAGAUUAUAAUGAGAUCAGCAAUCAAUUUUAUCUCACUCUCUCCUUCUGUACGAUGGGCACUUUCCAAAUCUUACAGACGCAUCGCCUGCUUUACUGGUCCUGUUUUAUCAAACAGUGCCCAAUUUUCUCAUGCCACCCCUCUUAGAGCAUCCAAAUAUUAACAAUUGGUAGCACUUUUGAGGCACCUCAUCAAAAUUCACAAGACCUUUCAAGUUAUAAAUGUAUAGUGCUAUGUAAAUGAUAAAAUACACACCAUAUCACAGAAUUGACACAACAGGGUAAAGGGCACAAAGUGUUCUUGUCUCCUCGGUGCUUUAAAAAUACUCUUUUAGCACUAGAUUAAAAGUGAGUGUGUUGAAAAGAGGUUUGCCUUAACUUUUUAAAUGUUCCCAUGUAGUCGAAUGUACUAUAAUGGCCAGUGGUCUUCAAUGUAUCCAUUAAAAGAGAAUUUAAACAGCAGUAUAAUAUGUAAAGCUGAAAAUAGAAAAGAAUUAUUUAGAAAAGCCAUUUGUGGGCUGGCAAAGUGGCUCAGGACAAAGAAAUUGCUGUGAAAACUUGAGGCCCUAAGUUCAAAUCCCAGGAACCCACUUGAAGCUGGGUAUGGUGCCAUGCUUGUUGGUAAUCCCACUCUUCCUGCAGUGAGUUGAAAGCUUGAGACAGGAGAAUCCCCAAAGACCCCAAGCUGCUUAGCCUAGCGUGUAGAGCAGCAAACUGCUCUAAAGAAACUGCUUCUAAAACAUAAUGCAAGUCAAAAGACAACACUGUAAGUCAUUAGUUCUCAACCUGUGGGUCGCCACCCCCAAAGGGGUCACAUAGCUGAUAUCCUGUAUAUCAGAUAUUUACAUUCCGAUUCAUACCAGUAGCAAAAUUACAGUUGUGGAGUAGCAACAAAAUAAAUUUCAUGGUUGGGGUGACCACAACAUGAAGAACUAUAUUAAAGGGUUACAGCAUUAGGAAGACUGAGAACCACUCUUCUUGAUUGUCUUCUAACCUCUAUAAGCAUGCUAUGCACACGAGUUCCCACAGUUAUCCACAUGAUCACACACACACACUAUCCACAUGAGCAGACAUACAUACACACACAUUGUACAUUAAAAAAAAGAAAGAAAGAAAAAGCAAUGGCCAAUCUGAACAUAGUAUGUUACAUACAGCAUUCAUCAGCAUCUACAUUUUAUACUUAUUUAGGUGCAUAUACAUGUAUAUAUGUCCACAUCUGUAUUUAAUUUCAGGGAGACACUAGAGGCAGGGAAGACAUAAAUUUAGUCCUGGAAAAUAUUGAGAAAUAUUUUUUCUAAUUGAUAUUAAUAUCCCACAAUUUGUUCUAGGAAUUCUAAAAUGGCUAAAACUUAACUCUUUGAGGGGUAGGGAGUUACUGGGAAUUGAACCCAGGAACUUGUGAAUUCUAAUUAUGUAGCAUAGCCCUUACUCUGCCCUGAGUCCAGGCAUUCUUAAGAAGUUAUGAUGUAGUCUGAAAUUAGAAGUUAUUUUAUGCUCCAUUUCCAGGUAUAUAAAAAACAAUGGAAAACAGAGAGAAGGCUGAACCACCUGAGCCUUAAGAGGCACCUCUCAAUUUACAUGCUUCCUGUGCUCAAGAAGAAAUAUUUUAAAAAAUUACAGCACCUAUGAUUUGGGAAAGAUCUUCCUAUAAAAUGAUCUACUCCAAACUAAAAACAAAUCUGACUUUAAGAAAAAUCCAGGCAGGAGAGUCUGGAUUCUCUAUCACACCCUCUGGGGAUGCAGGUCACAAUCCAAAGAUCUAAUCAGUUUGUCUGAGAGUCGCUGUUCUGAGAUUCCUGUACAUCAUUCACUCACGUGAAGAACACAAGGGUUGUGUUGUGAUCUUGCCUGGUAUUAAAGGGACACUUGUACAAAAUGUGCAUGUAGAGGAUGGGUUCCAAGGUAAAAGAUUGACAUAUUACUUCCAAAGGGAGUGGGUUUGUAUAAUCGGGGUCUUUUCACUCCCAGUCUGCAUGGUGUCUGUGAGGGAUAGAUAUGUUGUAUAUGUUCACAGUCACACGUGGUAUGUGAUUUAUAUACACACCCAUGUAGUCUCUAGAGGUCAGUAGAAUAUAAGAAAUGGGCAAACAUUCAUGUUGAGAUGAGAUACACAGACUCCAGAAACCAUUUUUCAAAUGGC